rnacentral:rRNA from 1 species
ACGAACGCUGGCGGCGUGCUUAACACAUGCAAGUCGAACGAAAAGAGGGAAAGAGCUUGCUCUUUCCGGAAUUGAGUGGCAAACGGGUGAGUAACACGUAAACAACCUGCCUUCAGGAUGGGGACAACAGACGGAAACGACUGCUAAUACCGAAUAAGUUCCAAGGGCCGCAUGGCCCAUGGAAGAAAAGGUGGCCUCUACCUGUAAGCUAUCGCCUGAAGAGGGGUUUGCGUCUGAUUAGCUGGUUGGAGGGGUAACGGCCCACCAAGGCGACGAUCAGUAGCCGGUCUGAGAGGAUGAACGGCCUCACUGGAAUUGAGACACGGUCCAGACUCCUACGGGAGGCAGCAGUGGGGAAUCUUCCGCAAUGGGCGAAAGCCUGACGGAGCAACGCCGCGUGAGUGAUGACGGCCUUCGGGUUGUAAAACUCUGUGAUCCGGGACGAAAAGGCAGAGUGCGAAGAACAAACUGCAUUGACGGUACCGGAAAAGCAAGCCACGGCUAACUACGUG